CAGUAGCCACGGGAAUACAGAGGAUGCAAGCGUUAAUCGGAAUUACUGGGCGUAAAGCGCACGCAGGCGGUCUGUUAAGUCAGAUGUGAAAUCCCCGGGCUUAACCUGGGAACUGCAUUUGAAACUGGCAGGCUUGAGUCUUGUAGAGGGGGGUAGAAUUCCAGGUGUAGCGGUGAAAUGCAUAGAGAUCUGGAGGAAUACCGGUGGCGAAGGCGGCCCCCUGGACAAAGACUGACGCUCAGGUGCGAAAGCGUGGGGAGCAAACAGGAUUAGAUACCCGCGUAGUCCCUGUCUCUUAUAC
rnacentral:rRNA from 1 species